GACGUAGGUGGCGAUCGUUAUCCGGAAUUAUUGGGCGUAAAGGGUGCGUAGGCGGCAUGAUAAGUUAUUGGCGGCAAAUCGAGGCUCAACCUCGUGGAAACUAAUAAUACUGUCUUGCUUGAGUGCAGAAGAGGUUAACGGAACUCCAUGUGGAGCGGUAAAAUGUGUAGAUAUAUGGAAGAACAUCAAUAACGGCGAAGGCAGUUAACUAUUCUGUUACUGACGUUGAGGCACGAAAGCGUGGGGAGCAAAAAGG
rnacentral:rRNA from 1 species